UCAAGUAAGACCAACCCACCCACCCACCCCGGAGCUCAGGGUGCUGACAACUGUUGGACUGGAAGUCCCUUGCCCUUCACAGCUGCCAGUGUUUCACAGGGUAAAACAGAAAGCUCGCCACUCCUGGUCAGAAGUGUGUGCAACUUCUAAAAGCCAGCCCUACAUCCAAUAAGGUGGCUGCUUUCGCCAAUGAGAAGUUCUCAGAGCUGUCUAUCCCUGGCUGCAAAAAAGCCAGCUUCAGAGGGGUCAGUCUGCGCAGGUCCUCCUCCACAUCGGACUCCUCCAUCUCGUCAUCGGCUGAGAUCAGGAUCUGGGGUGGUGGAGAGACAUGGCCUGAGUCACCCCCAGUGGGGCCUUCUUCCUCUGCCCUCCCUCCACCCCAGCAACAGGGUGCUAAUGCCUCUAGAAGGUCUCAGAGCCUCAGGUUUCUUUAGGAGAGGGUGAAGGGGAGGCCACUUUACAGAGUGAGACCACCCAGACAUCACUCACUCCCAGGAUAUUCACGGGCUACUGAAGCCAGCACCAAGUUGACAUACCCGCCCCUCUGUAGUGCUCCCCGCUUCUCCAUCCAACCUCCAGCUGCGAUGCAACCCCAGUUAGAAGAGACUCAGCAACGAGCCACACCCUAAGUCAUCCUGGCAAAGAACCCCAUCUGGACACAGGGUGAUACAGGUCCUUGAGGUUGCCCUACAGACAGCAAAAGCAAACUGAAGAGCUUCUUUCGAAAGGAAAAGAAAACACCUGUAGAGCAUACACGAGGCAGGCAGAUUUCAGAGCAGCUGCUAUGAACCAACUCUGCAACCUGUGAAGACACAUGGGAGCCCUGCACUUUUCUGAUCCCCUGGAAUGACUCAGCUGUGGAGCAAGGGCAUCCAGGGCAAAGACUCAUACUGCCGACCUGCUGCACCACUUGCCUGGCUCUGCAGACCUCUGAGCAUCAGGGAAGGACAGGGACGGGGUAUCUGUGCAGGGGAACAUGAGCUCAUUCUUUCUCAGGGGCAAGAUGGCUGUACCACCUCUUCCUGGACCACUCCCUGGGUGGAUCCCUGAUUAAACUUUCUCUCUGGCUCCCUA